GUGCCAUAUGGAAGGAAGUGGAGGUUUUGCAGUGGAACUACUUGUUGACUGUCGAUAUAAGACAAUGUGGAGGACCUGGGUAUGGCGGCUUAGGCCUGUAAUCCCCGAUACUCUGGAAACUGAGGCAGGAGGAUCACAAAUGCAAGGCCAGCCUGCUCAAUUUAGUGAGACGCCGUCUCAGAGAAAAACCCAGAAAAGGCUAAGGAUGUAGUUCAUUGUAGAGCUUUCCUGGGUUCAAUACCUUCUAUUGCAAACAAAACAAAACAAAACAAACCCAAAAAAACAAAAACUUAAAAUGGAGAUUUGUGGUAUUUAAAUCCAACAUUGCUUUGGAGUUGUAUCUUUGCUUAAUAAUAUGCUAUUAAACCAGACAGGGAUUUGAUUAACACCAACAGCAGCAGUAACAACAGUAACAGUAACAAUAACAAUAACAAUAACAAUAACAAUAACAAUAACAAUAACAUAAAGAUCUUUGUGAAGGAAAAUCAGGCCAAACACAUAUUCCUGGAUCAGAGUAGCUGCAUGGAAUCAAAUCAACAGCCAGUCUUUGGUGAAAAGAGACUUUCGGCAAACAUGUUCCCUUAUAUUUUGUUGUUUGAGGAAGCAAGAUAUUGAGUAUUUUUUGUAUACUUCUUUGAGCCAGGCAAUGUUUUAAGUUCAUGAAAUUAACUGAAGGAUCUAGAGGUAAAUUCAUCACGAUUUCUUUUGAGGAGCUAAAAAGAGUUCAGUCGUAUGUCGCAGAAACAGAGCAGAUUAGUGGUAAAUUUAGAACUGAAACUACUGGUCAGCUUCCAAGUCCACGUUCCUAGCUGCUUGGCUGUUCCGUGAGUUCUGAUGCUUUCUAUCUAAGGCAGUUGUGUGCACCUGAUGAGAAACUUCUUCUCUCAAGUGCCGCAGUUACUCCAAAAGAGAGCAAACAAACCGGAAGUUCAAAGUGUGCGUCUCUGCUGGCAUAAAGAGAAAGGAAGAAGGGGCAGGCGAGAAGCUUCAGGUGUUAGGUGGAUCUUGCUGAAAUUUUCUAUUUGUUUAGCAUCGAUUUCUACCAGGUAAUGUGAACUGCGCUGCCCUCAGUCUCUAUGGAUUGCACCCCAUUUCCCUUACUGGGCUGUAAGCAAAUGGGAGGGAAUUCUUCUUCCUCUACCUUCUGUGCGCUAAGGAUCUGCCACACGUGCAUCUACUUGGCUGCUGCUGGCCAGCUGUGGCUUCCCAAGGCUGCCUGCAUUUCAGCCUCUGCCUGCCACGGCUGCGGGCUUUCCACCCACCCCUCUCCAGCCAGGUACAGGGAAUGUUCAUACCUUAGGUUUCGUUACCAAGUAACACACAGUUCCAUUUGCCAAUCGCCACCAUUUCCUUCUCAUAGUAUUACAGGCCUUAUUAUUAACAUUUAGUUCAGAGAAAUUGCUGUCAUUAUGUGAAGUAACUUCCUUUAGAGGUUAUUCAUUAACCUUAGGUAUUUUACUGCGUAAUUGUAAUUGCCAAGCGCCGCAGGCUUGGAAAACCUUUGAACUCCUUAAGGUAUUAGGGGACUGCAGAAAGGAUAUUAUCUGUUUUUUCUUCCUUUUCUAGUUAAGGUUUAAUUUUGAAGGUGUCCUGUGUCCCCUCUAGAGGUGUCUGGCUUCCCAAAGGUUAAACUGUUCCGUCCCCUUCCAGAUUGCUGACUGAAGCUGUAAGUGUUCGAUAUCCCCAACACUGCAGGGUGAAACUUGUUCCCCUUUGUCUUAAGAAAAACUCCCAGGGAACCAGAAGGCCCGGAGGUCGGUGAAUGAUUGGCAGGUGUACUUGUGUCUCUGGAGCACCGGAGGACCUUGCACAAUGCCUGGAGUUGUAUAUUGCGCACAGCCUUGUUGUGACACAGCGGAAAUCCUUCAUCCUGUUGCUCAGAUGAUUGUAUGAAAGCAAUUUUUCACUCUCAGGCUGCGUGAGCCAGGUGUGCGAUCCACAAUACGCCUACUCCACAGCCAUUCUCAGCGGCCAUGCUGGUACAAUGCCCCUUCUGAUCUGCCCCGCACGGUGUGGUUGCCAAGACUUUGGUCCUCCCCUGCGACAACUUCAGUCCUUCCGGCCUUCACCCAGACCCUGAGAAGUGGCCCCACAUUCCUGGUAACCCGACUCCCGAGACUGGCGGGGCGGGGCGGGUGCACGGAAGCCACGUGACUGCGCCCCGCGCACCGGGUGCAGAGACCCGGGGGACAGUUCUGGCUGGCCUUGAGCUCAUUUUGUAGGUCACACUGGUCUUGAACUUACAAAGAUCCUCUUGCCUCAGCCUCCCCAGUGCUGGGAUUACAGACUGGGCGCUCUGUGAAAGCGAGGACCUCAUCUGACUCCUUUGCCACUGAACCACAGCAUCCUGAAUAGUCCUUGGCGCUGAGUAGGCACACAGAUUUGUUGAAUUCAAGAAAUAAAAGCACACAUAGACUGGAAGUAUAUUCAAGGGUACUUAAUACUGCAGUGGCACAGGACUGGAUUCUCAGAAAACGACCAUGACCGAGAACUGGUUGGUUGCUCCGCCCCUCACGUGGGUUUAAUGGCAGGGAUUUAGCCUCAGAUGCGUAUGCUUAUCUUGAAAUAUACUGAACAGCUUUGGGAAGUGUGCUUAGACUCUGUGCCUUAGUGUUUCUUAGCUAUUAAAUGAAGACAAUAGCGAAACCAAUCUCAUAAUAACUCAGGCAGCAUAUCUGGGAAUAAUGCCUGGCACAUAAUAGGUACUCAGUAAAUACUGGUUGGUAUUAUUUCACAGCAUAGUAAAGAGAAUGGCUCACGGGACAUUUAACUUGGAGGCAUUUUCAGGAUGAAUAAUUCAGGGAUUAAAAUGCGAUGCAUACAAAUGCAUGUAAUGGGUACUACUUUUGUAAAUCAAACAAUAAUAAAAAUCUAAUGUACGUUUCUGCUUAAUAUGUUUGUGACGAUAUAAAAUUAUGAAUGAUAUACAUGAAGCAUGAAAGUUAGGUGUGAGAAAUCAAGAUUGAGGAGUGGAAAAGAGGAAAAGGGAAAGUUGAGAACAAAAUGACCACUAUACUCAUUUACCAACACAUAGCUCUGAUUAAAGUUACAAAAUGUGUGUAUAGCUACACAGUGAUAUCUCUAACCUAUUAAUGGUGGUUGUAUUAGAGGUGUUGAGAUUUCAGGUAUAUUUCUGUCUUUAUACUUCAGUGUAUUUGAAUUUCUGACAAAAAUCUCCUGGUUUAUAUAAUCAAGAAAACCAAUAAAGUGUUUCUACAGUGGGAGAAAAGAAAAAAGCGAUCUCUACUCCUGUAACUCUCUGUUGAAUGAAGGAAGCUUGGAUAGGCCUUUCUUUUGGAAACUUCUGGCCUUUGAAGUUGUCAGAAACAGUUUCAUAAGGAGUACUUGGCCCCGUGGUCUGAGUACAAGCUGAAUUUAUUUUACAGCAAAUCACAUGCCUGCACUCUCAGUCUUCGCCUGUUUUGAAAGGUGAACUCAAAUCUAAGGGAUUAUAUGAACCAGAGAUACUGUAAACACAGAAAAAUAGAUCACAUAAUUCUUGAAAAUGUGAAGGAGGGGCCUAUCUACAGAUAAUCCAGCCACUGGGAGCUGUGUUAGAAAUUUUCAUAAAAUACCACGUAUGCCAAAGCCUUGUUCACAGACCUCCGUUCUCUUUGCAUUCCUUGUAAGAUAAGGCUGGGGGGUGUAGCUCAGUGCUAGUGUGUAUCUGCGGCCCUCGUUAGAUCCCCAGCACCACUGCAACCUGAAGAUAAAAGUGAUGAGGUUGCUCUUCAGAACCUUCUAUACCUUGCUCAGUCUGCCCACCACUGGUUCUGUACACUUUUUUCCUCUUCUUUAGUCAGUGCAGACACCCCAGUGGCCACUAACCACCUCUCUUCACCUUGUUCAUGCCUUUCCCCCUCCUUUCCCUUCCUUGUCCCUGAAGUCUUGGCUCCAGCCCAUGUCCACUGAAAGAAUUUGUGAAAUAUCCUGGUCCUCAGGGACUUCUCACUCCUUACCCUGCUUCUUCUACCAAGUUUGCCACCAGGUGUGUGCAUGCCUCACAGUCUGGAACUUUCUGUGUGCUCCAUGAAAUAAUCACCCGUCUUGAGAUGCCAAUUUUUCUCAAUUUGUCAAUUGGCGAACUCCUUGAACUACUUCAGUUUGGCAAAUUGGAGGAUAAAGUUUGUACCUUUUCUUUCUCUUAUUUCCACACUUCCUAAAAUGUUGCCUGGAUAUGGUUGGCAUGCUGUAAAUAUUUUCUGAUUGGUAGAUAUUUAUAGGUAUUUUCUUGAAAACCCAAGGUAUGUAGUAAUGCUAUAAUUAGAGUGUGUGUAGGAGCUCUUACGUAGAAACCAGUUUAUUUGCAUAUAAGCUUAUCCUAGAUAAGAAUUCCUUGGGUAAAUACAGAAAAUUUCAAGAGCCUUUCAGUUCCUGAAAAAUGUGUGUGCACUCAGUGAUAUGCGUCUCUGUUUGUCAUAGGCAGAGUAAGUGAAAAAUGAAUAUAAAUGGGAGCCAGACAUUUAAAGUUUUGAGAAUUGGAAACUGUGACAUGUUAACAAGGCUACCAAUAGCUAAUCCUUAUGGAUUUUAUUUUGAACUAGUUUGUUUCAAUACUUUACGUAUUUUUACUUAAUCCUUAAAACAACUUGUUGAGAUAGACACGCUUCUUAUUGGCCCUGUUUUAUAGAGGCUGAAAUAUACCUGAGCUAGCUCCUCCUAUACUUCUGAGCUUGUCUAUCAAUCACUUUCCUGUGGCAGAGAUAAAAUAUCCAACACUCACAGCUUAAAGGAGGAGAGGCUUAAUUUGGCUCAUGGUUGUCUCAGUCCAAGGCAGAAAUGUCAUGGCGAAAGGUGAUGGAGAAAGGAAGCUGCUUAACCUGUGACACCAAGAAUAGAGAAAAGAGGGGGCUGGAGUACAAAAAUACAACUUUCUGUCUUUCUGCCCACCCACCAUAGCAGUGUAGCAGUGAUCCACCUUUUCUAAGCAGGUCCCAUCUCUGAGCUCAUGAGACUGGAGGGACACUUUAGAUCUAAACCAUAGCUAUUUCUUUAAGCUAUUUAGUUGAAAUGUGAAUCUUUUUUUAUGAUUUUUGACUUGUAAUUUACCUAUAUGGUUAUAUCUGUACAAAGCACAAAGCUCACACACUCAAGUGCUUUGUAAAUGAGAAGCCUGUGAUUCCUCUCAAAGAUGACGUUUAAAAAAUACUGAUUCUAGGUUAAAGAAAAAUUAGUGCAACUACUCCAAAAAAGAUUUUAAAGGAGAUAGCUUUUUAAAGAGGCUAUUUACUUUUAGUCUGAGAAUUCUAUCACUGCCUUUCUGUGAGAAUGUUUUUAAAAGCCAUUGUAUGCUUCCUAAAAGAAAUUCGAUCUCUUUUAUUAAUAGUUACAUCUGGUUUUAAACCAAAGACAGCUUUGUUAUCUAUCUCAUUCAAAUUGUCUUGGCUGUGUGCAUAAUUUUACUCUGCAAGGCUGAAGAUUUGCUAUUGGCAAAGGGAACUUGAAAUAGUUUUCUAAUGUAUCUAAAGGGUAUUUCAAGAUAGGUUUUCCAAAAAUGUCAACCUCGUGUUACCUAAAUUCUGAAAAGAUCAAGCGAUCAUCCAAGGUCAUACAGUUAUCCCAUCCAGAGGCAGGAUGAGAAUCUUGGGCUUUGAAGUCCAGGCACUGUGAUUGCUGAUAGAGUACACUAGCACAGGAGGUGGUGGUGGUGGGGUGCUUGGGAGCUGCCCCUAGGAAUGAUCUUGAGAAAGGAGAGCUGUCUUUUGAGAGGUGGAGAUGAGGACAUAAAUGGAAGUCUUUCCUUUUUUGAGAACAGCAGGUAAAGUUUCUGAAUGUUGAGAGUUAGAAGACUAAUUGGUGUUUGUAGUCUGCUUAGCUGCUCUGGGUGGGUGAUGGAAGUUGCUGGAUUUAUGUUAUGCUUCUCUAUAAAAAGAGGAAAUAACAAUUUCCUAUGAGCCAGAUUUAUGGAUUUGAAUGCUCAGAAGCUCUGUCCGAGUUUUGCCUGCUAAAUGCUUUAGCAUAAUGCUCAUCAUUACGCUGUCUAACAUGUAAGUACUUACUGUAUGUCAGGAAUUGAUUUGAGUGUCUUACAUGUAUAGCUUCAUCUCAUCCACAUGACAGCCUAUUGAAGUAGUAAGAUUACACAACUUACUCUAAUUUGGCUGAUGUGAAGCUGUUCUUAAGAAACUGGCCUGGCAUUCAAACCCAGGCAAUUUGGCUUCAAAGUCUAAUCAAUUACAAAAAAAUUCUAGCCAGUUUCAAUUAUACACACACAAAAAAGGGUGAAUAGUACAAUGGACAAUAAACUCCAUUUACCCAUUUUCCACCAAAAAUAAGGAAUACUCACCAUCAGUUCUGUUCUAUCUGUAUCUCUCUCUGCUUCCCAGUUUUCCCAGUGCCAUCCCCAGAUUAUUUUCAAGAAAACACAGCCAUCCUAUGAUAACCACAACUAUUUUAGUAAAUAUUAUUGGGGGAAAAGUUUUUUAAAAAGCAUCUUCAGAGCUGAUACAGUGUCUGUUUUUUCCUCCACUUUUUUUUUUUAAACAGUAGCAGGUUUGGUGAUGAUUGUCUAGCUCUGUGAUAUUCUAAUUCUGUUAUUUUCAUCUCAUUUUAUUUGCUGGAAUACUUUAUAGCAACUAUUUGGUUAUCCUGCUGCACAGUUUAUAUAAGGAAGGCCAGGUAGAUGAUUUUUUAAAAAAUAGUUUGAAGGAGUUGACUUCUUAACAUCAGCUGAAGUCAAUCACUUUGUUUCUGUAUGUUGGCUUUAAGAUCCAAUCAAUUUGUCUUUAAAAUGAACUGUCACCUGGUUCCUGGUUCUUUUCUCUCUGGCAUUCUUCCUCUGUGUUUUGUCUCCCACGGUGGUGAAUGAGAAACUUUUCUCAGUCAUGCCUUUCUGCCAUGACGUUUCUACUUUGGAACCAUCUGACCAUGGACUGAAACCUCUGAAACUGUGAGUCAAAAUAAAAUCUUUUCCCUUUGUCGGUGUUAUGUAUUUUGUCCCAGCAACUGGAAACUGACCAAAGCAUUGUCCCAGAUGAUAGGAUUUCCUUCUUUAUAGCCAAAUAAUAGAGCAUUUUGUAUAUGUACCACUUUAAAAAUCCUCCAUCUAUUGGUGGAUACUUAGGUUGACCCUGCAGCUUGCCUAUUGUGCAUAGUACCACAGUGAUCGUGGGAGUAUGGAUAUUUCUUCAAUUCCACGUCUUUUGGAUACUCUCCCACUGUUGGGAUCACUGGAGCAUGAUUUCUAAUUUUUUUCUAUUUCUAAUUUUUCUAUUUCUAUUUCUAUUUCUAUUUCUAAUUUUUUUCAAGCACCUCUCUCCUGACUUCCACAAUGGCUCCACUGAUUUCCAUUCUCACUUAUGACGUAUAAGGUUUUCUUUUCUCCACAGCCUCGCUAGCACUUGAUAUAUGUCAUUUUUUGAUGAUGUCUUUAAUUUUGUUUUAAAGUUAUGUAAAAUAAGUUACUUUCAGAGAAGAUGACCACCUGUUUUCCCUUGUCUCAUAAGUAAUUUUUUUAUUUUAUGAUUUGUUUUUGUAGAAUGAAAAAUGUAUAUGGAUGUAUUUUCCCAACAGCCACACUCUUAGGGUCUCACUAAGUGUUUCAGGCUGGCUUUGAACUCAUUUUGUAACCCAGGAUGACCUCAGACUUGCAGUGACUCUCUUGCUUCAGCUUCCCAAGUGCUGGGAUUAUAGUCACUACCUCUGAAGACCUAAGGAGAGUUGCUUCUUGCUGUACCAUGUUAUACAUACUGCGGUAGGUAUACAGUUCCAUUCUCAUAACACUGCAACAUAGAUAUCAUCACCCUCACCGGAUACUGAGGAAACUGAGGCUUAGACUUCAAGAAAUGUAUCUGAGCCCUCAUAGCUAAUGAGUACGAGUGACAGAAGCAGAAGCCAACCCUGGAAGAUGUGACUUCAUGUAUGGUGCGGUUGUGAAGUUUGCUGAGUGUAAUGAAAUACUUGAGAUAAGUCAACUUAUACAGAGAAAAGGUUUAUUUUGGUUACAGUUUUGGAGGUUCUGGUCCCAUAAGCAUUUGGCCCUGUUGCUUCUGGGCCAGUAGCCAGGCAGCACAUCAUGACAGAAACAUGGGCAAGAGCACGAAGCCACCCAUUGCAAGGCUGGGACAUGAAUGGGAGAGGGAAGAAGGGAGGAGGGACCCAAUCUGGUGCCCAAUAAUUUUCAAAUACAACCCACCUCUUAAAGGUUCUGUCACUUCCCAACAGGUCCAUGGGCUGGGUACCGUGUUUUUAGUACACGGAUCUUUGGAGAGUACCAAACCAAACUAUAGUGCUAAAGCCUCCAGAUUUCCCUACAGAUUUGCCUUGACAUAGAGUUGAGGUUUGAGCUCUGACUCCAGGGCCAUGGUGACUAUUAUACUAUUUUAUUCUAAGAAAUAGAAUGGUAAAGAUGUUCUUACUAUGCAAUACUCAUUGCUGCUCUAGAACUAAUUUUAGCUGAUUUAGUCAAGGAACAAACAUUAAAAAGAUGUUGAGGCUGGGUGAGGUGGCACAUGCCUGUAAUCCCAGUACUCGGGAGAUCGACAUAAGAGAACUGCUGUAAAUUUGAUGCUAGCCCGGGCUCAAAUUAAACCCAGCCUGAACUGCAUAGUGAGACCCUGUCUCAAAACAAAACAAAACAAAACAAAAAAAGAUAGAUAUUAGAAAGCUCACACAGACCUGUGAAUGCACUUCUGGGCUGCCAAUCGCAUGUUCUAAUACCUGACAUGUAUGACAGGAAGCCUUUGAAAUAUCAGCAUGUGACUCUUUUGUAAAAAUGCAUGUGAAUUUUUUAUAAAAAUGCAUGUGACUUUUUUGUAAAAAUGCAUGUGACUUUUUUGUAAGAAUGCAUGUUUUCUGUUACAGUUUUUAUUCAAAGAAAAAUUAUAUACAUAUAUAUAUAUAUAUUUAAAUAUAUAUAUACACAUAUUUCAUUUCUUCCUCUAAAGACCUGGAUCCUGUCUGGGAGCUUUUGCCUUGGCUACAGCUAGACUGGGAUCCAACCUCUCAUGCCUCACAGGAGGCUACAUGGCCUCUGCUGCUUCCCGACUGGGCACUCAGUGUGAAGUCCUGGUCUGGAGCAGGUGAUUUCAUCAACAGAGCAUGGUCCUGUGUCACUCUAAUGCCAGGAUGAUGACUUGGAAAGCAAAUAUCAGGCACUUUUAUCUUCUAUAAUUAGGACAAGUGUUUCAGGGUCUGGGAGGCCAAAGAAUGACUAAUUCCACACUGUUUCUUAGUUCCUGUAUACUCUUUUUUUUUUUUUUUUUUUUUUUUGUUAAGCAAAAUUUGCUCACCCUUGAAGGUUCCAUUUGUAUCUCCUUGCCCUGUGAAGUUUUCAUGGGAGUCCUCCAAUUUUUGGUUUCUCCUCUGAACAUUUCCUACGGCCAAAAUGAGAUGUCAGAACAUAUUUGUAUAUUGGCCUCAGGUCAUUAUACUUGAACCUUAUUGUUCAAGAAUUUUUAUAAUUAAUGUAACACUGGUGCUGCUUUCAAACAGUUAGAAGGGAAGCAGUUUACAAACAGAAAUAAAUCUGAGAGAACAGAUUCUUCUCUUUCUACCCAAAUCCAUUCCCUGGUUCUGCUUUUGGUCUUUAUCUAGUAGUUUGAUUUGGUUUUUACAUUUCAUGUUAUUUUCUUGUCUCUUUAACUAGAAUAAUUACCCGCUGAGGGCAAAAAUCAUACCGAAUACUUAUUCUAUGUUAUUCACCAUAUGGACAGUACAUAUUUAUUGAUUAGCUGAGGACAAAUAUGCCUGAAAAAUCCAACCCUUUAUGACAUAUUUGGAACCUCUGAUCCAAAUAGUUACUCAUUUGAUGUUAGAUUAUGUCAUUUGUAGAAACAGUAAUAAAACAUCUUCUUUUCCUGUAAAAUCUUCCCUUCAAUAGAGAUUGACAACAGAACACUUUAUUAUGGGAUUGAUGAUCCUCUUAGGAAUGUUAGGUUCAAGCUCCCUCAUGGUAAAGCAUCCUUUAUACAUGUCUACAAACAAAGGUUGACUGCAUAAUCCUUUAAUAUGCUUUUCACAGGCUGAGUUCAGUGUAGUCUGCCGCACAUUUUCACUGCUGAACAGCUUACCUGGUAGAGAUCACACCAGGCCUAAUAACUGAUAUGUAUAACGGAAGUCAUUUGAAAGACCAGUACUAUAUAUGAUUAAUACAUGCAAAAAUGCAUGUAGUGCCUAUUUUGAUUAUGGUUUUCUUUCAAAGAAAAAUUUAAUGAUAAAUCUUUUUUUUCAGUGAUAUGGGGAAUGUUCAUGUCUUCUAGAUCAAGUCUCUCUAUGUAAUGUAGUUAAGUGAUGUCCAAAUCCCCAUGUGAUGUACUCAUGGGGGGGCUAUAGCUGAUAUAAAGUCAUCUCAUUUGAAGAUAUAAAGCUACUAAUCUACAUUAUUUAUAGAUUUAAAGCCUCAAAAGCUGUUUUCAAAUGAACUACUCUCUUCUCUUUUUCAUUUUGCAAUAUUUCUUGGAUUGGGAAAAUAUUUGCAAUUUACAUAUUCGGUAAAGGGCAUAGUUGGGGGGGUAUCCUUGAUAUCAAUAACAAGAAAACUAUCCCCCCAAAUGAAUGAAAUAUUUAAAUACACAAUUUACCAACAACAUAGAGUUGGUCAAGAAACCCAAUAAAAUACACUUAAAAUUAUUUAGUCUCUAGGGAACGCAUAUUUAAACCACAGUGAGAUACCAAUAUACACUAAGAAUGGCUGAAAAAAAAAAGAAACUGAAAGUAGGUAGUGUGGCUAAGAAUAUAGAGAAACUGGAAUUCAUGCAAAGUUGGUGAAAAUGAGAAAUGGAAUAGCCUCUUGGGCAGUUUCAGUUUCUAAUCAAGUGAAAUGUGUGCUUUCCUUAGGAUGUAACAAUUAGAUUCGUAGUUAUCUAUCCAAAGGAAAUAAAAAC